rnacentral:rRNA from 1 species
UUCCGGUUGAUCCUGUCCGGCGAUCACCGCUAUUGGAAUCCGCUUAAGACAUGCGAGUUGAGAGGGCUUACACCCUCGGCAUACUGCUCAGUAACACGCGGACAAUCUGCCCUAAGGUGAGGAAUAAUCUCGGGAAACUGAGCAUAAUACCUCAUAGGUCACAUGAUGCUGGAAUGCUUCGUGGCCAAAAGCUCCGGCGCCUUAGGAUGAGUCUGCGGCCUAUCAGGUCGUACUGGGUGUAACGGACCCACUAGCCAACGACGGGUACGGGCGUUGGGAGACGUCGCCCGGAGAUGGAUUCUGAGACACGAAUCCAGGCCCUACGGGGGCGCAGCAGUCGCGAAAACUUGUCAAUGCGGGAAACCGCGAACAGGGGAGUCCAAGUGCUUGCACUUUGUGUAAGCUGUUCGGUUGUCUAAAAAACAGCCGAAGGAAGGGCUGGGUAAGACAGGUGCCAGCCGCCGCGGUAAUACCUGCAGCCCGAGUGGUGAUCGAUUUUAUUGAGCCUAAAGCGUCCGUAGCCGGACUAGUAAACUCUUGGGUAAAUUGGGCAGCUUAACUGUCCAAAUUCCGAGAGGACUGCUAGUCUUGGGACCGGGAGAGGUCCAGAGGUACUCCAGGGGUAGGGGCUAAAUCCGAUAUGCUUUCGUGGCAUUCGGUUAGCAUUCCUGUAAUCCUUGGGGGACCACCAGUGGCGAAGGCGUCUGACUAGAACGGAUCCGACGGUAAGGGACGAAACCCUGGGGCGCGAACCGGAUUAGAUACCCGGGUAGUCCAGGGCGUAAACGCUGCAGGCUUGGUGUUGGGGACCCUACGAGGGUGCCCAGUGCCGGAGUGAAGAUGUUAAGCCUGCCGCUUGGGGAGUACGUCCGCCAAGGAUGAAACUUAAAGGAAUUGGGCGGGGGAGCACUACAACGGGUGGAGCCUGCGGUUUAAUUGGAUUCAACGCCGGAAAACUCACCGGGUGCGACAGCAACAUGUAGGUCAGGCUGAAGGUCUUACCUGUAAUCGCUGAGAGGAGGUGCAUGGCCGUCGUCAGUUCUGUACUGUGAAGCAUCCUGGUUAAGUCAGGCAACGAGCGAGACCCGCGCCCACAGUUGCCAGCAUGUUCUCAGGAACGAUGGGUACACUGUGGGGACCGCCGCUGCUAAAGCGGAGGAAGGAACGGGCUACGGUAGGUCAGUAUGCCCCGAAUCUCCCGGGCUACACGCGGGCUACAAUGGUUGGGACAAUGGGCACCUACCCUGAAAAGGGAUGGUAAUCUCCGAAACCCAACCGUAGUUCGGAUUGAGGGCUGUAACUCGCCCUCAUGAAGCUGGAAUCCGUAGUAAUCGCGUUUCAACAUAGCGCGGUGAAUACGUC